rnacentral:rRNA from 1 species
CAAUAGCGUAUAUUAAAGUUGUUGCAGUUAAAAAGCUCGUAGUUGAAUUUCUGGUUGAAGCGACCGGUCGGGCGUUGAUUCGUCUGCACUGGAGUCGGUUUUGGCCAUCCUCUAGGAAAGUGCGUCUGGUAUUAAGUUAUCGGGCGUAUGAUCCUGGUCUUUUACUGUGAAAAAAUUAGGGUGUUUAAAGCAGGCCUUCGCCUUGAAUACAUUAGCAUGGAAUAAUAAGAUAGGACUUUGGUCUAUUUUGUUGGUUUGCAGACCGAAGUAAUGAUUAAUAGGGAUAGUUGGGGGUAUUUAUAUUCCGAUGUCAGAGGUGAAAUUCUUAGAUUUUCGGAAGAUAAACUUAUGCGAAAGCAUUUACCAAGGAUGUUUUCAUUAA